CUGUGAAGUUUAUUAAAUACCGACUGUAUCAGCUUAAACUGCACUUUUAAUAAAAUUCUUUUAUUUUUUCUGCAGAACCCCCCAAAAGGCAAGUGGCUGGCCGAUGGAGGAAACUUGGUUUCAUGCUCUCAUUCUGAGCUCUGGAUUGCAGUCAACACAGGCAAGAGACGCAGAGGAGAAAGCCCUGUGGUUACCAUGGUAACCGCUCUCCCGUCCAUCGUGACUUGAUGCUCCUCCAGACUGAGGAUGAGGUAAGCACAAGGAGGCAAAUGAUGCCUCAGAGGAACCUUUGGCCAGAAGCUCCGACACAUCACCAGAAAGUCUAUUUGUUGCUUCUCUGCACGGCAGGACUGAGACAGCAGGUGAGGCACUGCUCUCUGAUAAUGCCGUUUAAAAAAAAUAAUAAAAAAUCAACUGUAGUUACUGAAGCUUGGGCUCAAAUCACUUCAUAGAGGGAGGAGGAGGAGAUGGUGGUGGCGAGCGGUCAUUUGAUCUUAUAAUCUCCUUGAAAUCAAACCACAGUGAGAUUAAAUUUAGCUUGGCCUUUGCCCCGCAACCUCCAGAGUUACAGUGAUCCCCGGUGCCAGGCAGAGAGCGGGGUGACCAGCAGGGCGAUUAAGUUGUAUGCAACAGAGCCAAAUAUUUAAUCAACAAGCUGAUCUGUCACUCUGGAUGACAGUCUAACCCUUACAAUAAGAUGAAGGUCUUUCCAGUAUAAGCACGAGUGUUUACUUUGUCUAAAAAAAAGACAUUUUACCAUUUUACUGUGUAAGACAAAAAAAGAAAAAAUGCAGGAAUGCCAGAGGACAAGAUCCCAGCUCCCUUUACAAUCUAGUGCAAUCUAAUACAGCAAUCCCUGCAACAGCUACAAACUUUGUAAAGCUCAUGUUCAGCUGUCAGGGAGGUUUUGACUCAGCUCUGUGGAAAUGCAUUUAUAAGGCUGUACUGUACAGUCGACUGGACCACAUUACACAAAAUACACAUUACCAUAGAAUAUGACUAAUGUUUCUACUCUACAGCUAUUUUAUACUCAAGCCUCCACCACACUUGCCAUAUCUUACA
ensembl:lncRNA